AAUAACACUGAUGAAGGCACUAGAGCCCCAAACGCUGGUCUGCUUGACUCAGUUUAGUUUCAAUAACACUGAUGAAGGCACUAGAGCCCCAAACGCUGGUCUGCUUGACUCAGUUUAGUUUCAAUAACACUGAUGAAGGCACUGGAGCCCCAAACGCUGGUCUGCUUGACUCAGUCUCUUCUAGUUUCAAUAACGCUGAUGAAGGCACUAGAGCCCCAAACGCUGGUCUGCUUGACUCAGUCUCUUCUAGUUUCAAUAACGCUGAUGAAGGCGCUAGAGCCCAAAUGUGCGUGUGUGUGUGUGUGUGUGUGUGUGUGUGUGUGUGUGUGUGUGUGUGUGUGUGUGUUUUGUUCCCUUAAUCAAAUACACUACCACCAAAAAUGAUUCAGGCAGUUUUAAAUUUCGAUCUCCACAAUUUUAUAUAUUAAAGUAUCUUAAAAUAUAGAUAGAUUGAUAGAUAGAUAUAUCUAUAUACAUGUAAUCCACAUUUACUUACUAAAUACCCUGGUAUCUCUGUGUAGGGCAAUUGUUCUUCAAUAUACCCUGAAAAAAUCCAUUCUCACCUCUUAUUAGCUUUAUUAACAGGAUCACUGGCCCCUCCCUUUAAAGGAGCGCUAACCAUCUUUAAAAUCCAUUCUCUCACCUCUUAUUAGCUUUAUUAACAGGAUCACUGGCCCCUCCCUUUAAAGGAGCGCUGACCAUCUUUAAAAUCCAUUCUCUCGCCUCUUAUUAGCUUUAUUAACAGGAUCACUGGCCCCUCCCUUUAAAGGAGCGCUGACCAUCUUUAAAAUCCAUUCUCUCACCUCUUAUUAGCUUUAUUAACAGGAUCACUGGCCCCUCCCUUUAAAGGAGCGCUGACCAUCUUUAAAAUACAUUCUCUCACCUCUUAUUAGCUUUAUUAACAGGAUCACUGGCCCCUCCCUUUAAAGGUGUGAUAACCAUCUUGAAUUAAAAGCAAGGAAAAAUAAUGUUUGGUGCCACUACUGUAUAAUAUAUAAAACUAUGGCUAUUGAAACUCAGGGGGGCUGUCUGAAUCGUGUUUGGUGUUGCUGUAUAAUAUAUAAAACUAUGGCUAUUGAAACUCAGGGGGACUGUCUGAAUCGUGUUUGGUGUUGCUGUAUAAUAUAUAAAACUAUGGCUAUUGAAAUUCAGGGGGACUGUCUGAAUCGUGUUUGGUGUUGCUGUAUGAUAUAUAAAACUAUGGCUAUUGAAACUCAGGGGGGCUGUCUGAAUCGUGUUUGGUGUUGCUGUAUAAUAUAUAAAACUAUGGCUAUUGAAACUCAGGGGGGCUGUCUGAAUCGUGUUUGGUGUUGCUGUAUAAUAUAUAUAUAUUGAAUGGAGCAGUCCUUGUCGUUUAUUAUAAAGGUGUGUGUGCGUGCGUGCGUGCGUGCGUGUGCGUGUGCGUGUGUGCGUGUGUGUGUGUGCGUGUGUGUGUGUGUGCGCGUCUCUUUCCUCUCUCUGUGUUGGGUUUGUGUUUUAUUGUAUUCAGACGAGUGCUAUUUUCGUAUUGCUUUGGGAAUUGUAAUGUGUGUGCAUGGAUCUGACAUGCAAAAAGGUCAUUGCAUGACAAGAAUAUCAAUUAUGAUAAGAACAAGAAAUAUAAGAUUAAGAAUUAAUAAAAAAAAAUAAAAAACAUUCUUUUUUUAUUGAAUAAAAA